rnacentral:rRNA from 1 species
UUAAAUUGAAGAGUUUGAUCAUGGCUCAGAUUGAACGCUGGCGGCAGGCCUAACACAUGCAAGUCGAACGGUAACAGGAAGAAGCUUGCUUCUUUGCUGACGAGUGGCGGACGGGUGAGUAAUGUCUGGGAAACUGCCUGAUGGAGGGGGAUAACUACUGGAAACGGUAGCUAAUACCGCAUAACGUCGCAAGACCAAAGAGGGGGACCUUCGGGCCUCUUGCCAUCGGAUGUGCCCAGAUGGGAUUAGCUAGUAGGUGGGGUAACGGCUCACCUAGGCGACGAUCCCUAGCUGGUCUGAGAGGAUGACCAGCCACACUGGAACUGAGACACGGUCCAGACUCCUACGGGAGGCAGCAGUGGGGAAUAUUGCACAAUGGGCGCAAGCCUGAUGCAGCCAUGCCGCGUGUAUGAAGAAGGCCUUCGGGUUGUAAAGUACUUUCAGCGGGGAGGAAGGGAGUAAAGUUAAUACCUUUGCUCAUUGACGUUACCCGCAGAAGAAGCACCGGCUAACUCCGUGCCAGCAGCCGCGGUAAUACGGAGGGUGCAAGCGUUAAUCGGAAUUACUGGGCGUAAAGCGCACGCAGGCGGUUUGUUAAGUCAGAUGUGAAAUCCCCGGGCUCAACCUGGGAACUGCAUCUGAUACUGGCAAGCUUGAGUCUCGUAGAGGGGGGUAGAAUUCCAGGUGUAGCGGUGAAAUGCGUAGAGAUCUGGAGGAAUACCGGUGGCGAAGGCGGCCCCCUGGACGAAGACUGACGCUCAGGUGCGAAAGCGUGGGGAGCAAACAGGAUUAGAUACCCUGGUAGUCCACGCCGUAAACGAUGUCGACUUGGAGGUUGUGCCCUUGAGGCGUGGCUUCCGGAGCUAACGCGUUAAGUCGACCGCCUGGGGAGUACGGCCGCAAGGUUAAAACUCAAAUGAAUUGACGGGGGCCCGCACAAGCGGUGGAGCAUGUGGUUUAAUUCGAUGCAACGCGAAGAACCUUACCUGGUCUUGACAUCCACAGAACUUUCCAGAGAUGGAUUGGUGCCUUCGGGAACUGUGAGACAGGUGCUGCAUGGCUGUCGUCAGCUCGUGUUGUGAAAUGUUGGGUUAAGUCCCGCAACGAGCGCAACCCUUAUCCUUUGUUGCCAGCGGUCCGGCCGGGAACUCAAAGGAGACUGCCAGUGAUAAACUGGAGGAAGGUGGGGAUGACGUCAAGUCAUCAUGGCCCUUACGACCAGGGCUACACACGUGCUACAAUGGCGCAUACAAAGAGAAGCGACCUCGCAAGAGCAAGCGGACCUCAUAAAGUGCGUCGUAGUCCGGAUUGGAGUCUGCAACUCGACUCCAUGAAGUCGGAAUCGCUAGUAAUCGUGGAUCAGAAUGCCACGGUGAAUACGUUCCCGGGCCUUGUACACACCGCCCGUCACACCAUGGGAGUGGGUUGCAAAAGAAGUAGGUAGCUUAACCUUCGGGAGGGCGCUUACCACUUUGUGAUUCAUGACUGGGGUGAAGUCGUAACAAGGUAACCGUAGGGGAACCUGCGGUUGGAUCACCUCCUUACCUUAAAGAAGC